rnacentral:rRNA from 1 species
GUAGGUGGCAAGCGUUGUCCGGAAUUAUUGGGGCGUAAAGCGCGCGCAGGCGGUUCUUUAAGUCUGAUGUGAAAGCCCACGGGCUCAACCGUGGAGGGUCAUUGGAAACUGGAGAACUUGAGUACAGAAGAGGAAAGCGGAAUUCCACGUGUAGCGGUGAAAUGCGUAGAGAUGUGGAGGAACACCAGUGGCGAAGGCGGCCUUCUGGUCUGUAACUGACGCUGAGGCGCGAAAGCGUGGGGAGCAAACAGGAUUAGAUACCCUGGUAGUCCACGCCGUAAACGAUGAGUGCUAAGUGUUAGGGGGUUUCCGCCCCUUAGUGCUGCAGCUAACGCAUUAAGCACUCCGCCUGGGGAGUACGGCCGCAAAGGCUGA